GGUGAUGUAGCUCAGCUGGCUAGAGCGUAUGGUUCAUACCCAUAAGGUCGGUGGUUCGAGCCCACCUAUCACCACCA
rnacentral:tRNA from 2 species